AGAGUUUGAUCAUGGCUCAGAACGAACGCUGGCGGCGUGGAUAAGACAUGCAAGUCGAGCGCUGAUUUGCGGGUAGCAAUAUUCGUAAGUCGGAGUGGCGCAAGGGUGUGUAACACGUGGGUAAUCUGCCAUGAAGUCUGGAAUAACUUGCUGAAAGGCGAGCUAAUACCGGAUGUGAACGCAAGUUCAAAGUUGGGGACCGUAAGGCCUGACGCUUCAUGAUGAGCCCGCGGCCUAUCAGCUAGUUGGUGAGGUAACGGCUCACCAAGGCCAAGACGGGUAGCUGGUCUGAGAGGACGACCAGCCACACUGGAACUGAGACACGGUCCAGACACCUACGGGUGGCAGCAGUCGAGAAUUUUUCUCAAUGGGCGAAAGCCUGAAGGAGCGACGCCGCGUGGGGGAUGAAUGGCUUCGGCCCGUAAACCCCUGUCAUUUGCGAACAAAUUGUUUCACCUAACACGUGAAGCAUUGAUUGUAGCGGAAGAGGAAGGGACGGCUAACUCUGUGCCAGCAGCCGCGGUAAUACAGAGGUCCCAAGCGUUGUUCGGAUUCACUGGGCGUAAAGGGUGCGUAGGCGGCCAGGUAAGUUUGAUGUGAAAUCCCGCAGCUCAACUGCGGAACUGCAUUGAAUACUAUUUGGCUCGAGGAAUGGAGGGGAGACUGGAAUUCUCGGUGUAGCAGUGAAAUGCGUAGAUAUCGAGAGGAACACCAGUGGCGAAGGCGAGUCUCUGGACAUUUCCUGACGCU
rnacentral:rRNA from 1 species